rnacentral:lncRNA from 1 species
AAUACUGAUUCUUUUCACGAGCAUGACUAACAUCAUUGUCAUAUUAUCAUGGUCUUCUUAGUAACAAGUGCCCUUCUUGUAUAAAAAUGACAUCGCAGAGUAUUUCAUCCUCAUAUUUUUCAAUAGAAAAUAGAACUUGUACAUGUUUGGUGACUCUAAUCUCCUUACUAGCAUUUAAUUAGUGUAGCUUGAAGGGAUUGGGGUGAGAUAAACAAAUCAAC